AAUGGGUGGGUGCUGAUGGGAGCUGUGCCCUGGCCACUCACUCGGCUCUCUCCCUCACCCUAG
ensembl:miRNA